rnacentral:rRNA from 1 species
UUAGUUGCCAGCAGGUCAAGCUGGGCACUCUAAGCAGACUGCCGGUGACGAACCGGAGGAAUGUGGGGAUGACGUCAAAUCAUCAUGCCCCUUAUGACCUGGGCUACACACGUACUACAAUGGCCGGUACAACGGGAAACAAAAGAGCGAUCUGGAGCGAAUCCUACAAAACCCGGUCUCAUUUCGGAUUGCAGGCUGCAACUCGCCUGCAUGAAGUCGGAAUUGCUAGUAAUCGCGGAUCAACAUGCUGCGGUGAAUACGUUCCCGGGUCUUGUACACACCGCCCGUUACACCACGAGAGUUUACAACACCCCAAGUCGGUGGGGUAACCCGCAAGGGAGCCAGCUGCCGAAGGUGGGGUAAAUUAUUGGGGUGAAGUCGUAACAAGGUA